GGCGGAAGGGAUAGCCGCCAAGGCAAAGCAACCACGACCCUCCCGCAGCUACACAGGCUCCAAGAUGGCAGCAAGGGCGGAAUCCUUCGAUUAUCUCGCCUCUUAUUGGACAGUUCAUGCGGGAGAAUAACAGCGUCGUUCAUUGGUGAAUAAAAUUCUCCCCGUCUCCGAUGCACCGAACUAAAGGGAAAACGCUUUUUCUGCGUGCCAGUGCAGCCUGAGAGACAGUUGUCACUCGUGACUCAUUUAGCUUGCUCUUCGCCAGUACAACCCUGGCACAACCUAGAGUUUCAUAGCAUUUAAGAAAACAUUCUGUAGGCUUUUUAGUCCCUGCGCUCGUUGCCUUGUGUAUUCAAUGGACCUUUCCUACUCCGCCCACCCCUUCUCCAGCACCGAGGAAAUAGUUCCCCGGCUUUGCACUGGAACUUCUAGACCUCAAGGAGAAAACCCAAGAUAUCAUUUUCGAAGGAACCUUUAUAUCAAUCUGGGCAAAGGAACAGAAAGGAGGACCUAAUGUGCAGGCUAAAGAUUUAGGGAUGAGGUAAAGCUAAUGCUUUCUCACACCUUGCGUUUCAAUCUACCCAUUUUCUGGGAAGAAAAUUAAAGCAUAUCGACAAGGAAUGCAAUUAUACAAUUGGAGAAAAAUGGAAUUGCAUGCAGAAGUGUUCAACAAGGGAUUCAACAGAGAGUGUCUCAUUGGUCUUCAAUAGAGGGCUCAAGCUAUUCUCCUGCUUCAGCAUUCUAUGGAGUGCAAGAACCACAAGCAAAACCAGGUGUAAGUUACUUGCCUGCCGCGACUGCCUCGACCAGCAAGGAAGACGCAACACCGGAGCUCUUCUUGCAAGCAAUUUACUCAGGACCUUGUUACAAUAGUUUCUCUCUCCGGGCAAGCUCCUCCCAGCCCUUAAGUAGCCCUGGGCAGCCAAUCCUGGAUCGCCACGUGGGCACUGUCCAUAGGACCACUUAUACGCAAGCAGCUUACGAUCAUCACGAGAUCCUGACCUUAGCCAAAUAAGGUGUUGUUUACCACUGAGAGCGCUGGCUUUUGGGAUCGCGGAAGGCGGAAGCUGGCGCCAUCUUUUAGGAGAAUAUCAUCCAUAUAAUGGAGACAUUUCACAGUUGGAAAACGAGCCUGUAAGGGCUCCAAAGCAGCAGCUACAAAUAAUCGACACAUACUAGGACUAUUGGCCAUACCCUGAGGCAAGAGCAAAUAACCCGUUUUGGUCAUGGAUCCCCAAUCUUACCUUGAGGACUUACCGGUGCACCCCCUGACUGCUACAAGUUCUGGGCUCCAGGGAAAGGAGAGGAGAAUCUCCGUAUGGGCCACCACUUGUCGCAACCGCCUCGACCAGUACGCAACACCGGAGCUCUUCUUGCAAGCAAUUUACUCAGGACCUUGUUACAAUAGUUUCUCUCUCCGGGCAACCCCUUAAGUAGCCCUGGGCAGCCAAUCCUGGAUCGCCAUGUGGGCACUGUCCAUAGGUCCACUUAUGCGCAAGUAGUUUACGAUCAUCGCGUGAUCCUGGCCUUAGCCAAAUAAGGUGUUGUUUACCACUGAGAGCGCUGGCUUUUGGGAUCGCGGAAGGCGGAAGCUGGCGCCAUCUUUUAGGUGCGGCUCCAUGAAGCUCUCUAUACUUGCCAACCAUAUUUUCAAUAGUAAAAUGAUGAUGAUGAAAAACCAAGAUGUCUUGUAUGAGAAUAGACCAAUGAUUAAAAAUAAUACACCUAUAA